UGUAAUGAUGAAUCAUUAGACUAGAGUCUCUGAUUUACUCGUGAAGAUCUUCACAGUGCACUGAACA
ensembl:snoRNA small nucleolar RNA SNORD52